UUCUUCGAAACCGCCAUAGCCAGGAAACAUUGCAAGCAACGGAGCUUUGAAGGAUGAGAAAACUCAACUCCAGAGGAAGAAGAGGAUGAAAACCAAGCAGAAGAAGCAGAGGACGACGGCGACAUGGCCGAGUUGCGGAGGAGCUGUGGUUGCAGCAGGUCGGCGGCCUUGUCGUUGUUGUGAAGUUUUUUUUGUUCUGUAGAGGUGGUGCUGGCGAUGUUGGAGGCUGCAAAUUCCAGGCUUUGAAAGAGCGGGAUUGUGGUGAAUGUCCAGUCGCAACGCUACGAGCGCGGUUUUUGUGAAGCGGAUGCUUGGAAUACGGGCGAAGAGCUGGUGCGUGAGGUGUUUUGUCGCUGCUUGAGCUCAGUUUGGAGCAGAUCCGGGGAUCGUUCGCACUGCCUAGGAUUUGAUAUCAUGUCUGCCAUCCGUGGUCGGGGUCUCCCUACCGUCGAGGAGCACGAGGAGGAGAUUGAGUAUGGCUAUAUUCGUUAGGUAGCCUCGUCCUGAUCCAUGGAUUGCCUUGUUUCGAAUGCGGAUUGUGUGAGGAGGGCGUUGCGUGAGUGUAGAACAUGGUUGCAUGCCGCCUGGUUUAGAGUUUAAGGUGCGCUGAGUUUGAUCGACGGAGGCUUUUGUUUAUUUUCUUUCUCGGUUGCAAUGGCGGAGUGGAAGGAGGUUUUGGAGCUAGUGCGAGGCGUUAGAGCAGUGACUUUUUCUGUCUGCUGUGGUGUGAUUAACAUUUUUCGAUGAAGAAUCUUAGUGUACGGUAGUAGAGCGUAGUGAGGAGGAUUAUGGUGGUCCAGAGAAGCACGUCAAUGCGAGGCAGCUGGGAGCUUUUCAACGGUGUGAUUCACUUCGAUCGAUUGUUCGUUAUUCUUCUAAUUUGAACUACUUGUCUACGUUGUGUCAUGGGUGCGAUAGUUUUAGUAUGAGUGUUUCUUGGUGAUAAUCCUGCUGAUCAACUGCUGAGGUCAUAAAAAACGAACGUCAAGUGCAAAAAAUCUGGAAUGAUAUUGUUUUUAAUCUCCUCGUGAAGUAGGCAUAUGAUGUUCGAGUUGACGUGAAUAGUGAUUGAGUUAUAUACUGUGCACCUUGUCUUUGGAAAGAGCUGAGAUCAUUUCCUCAUGCCAGUUUGCACGCAAUGCAAAUCAGAUGCUUUCUCAUUUACGACUUAAAAAUCAGCUCUGUUUCGCCUUGUACUGUAGAUGAUCAAUUGCAAGGAUGUUCGCGUACACAGGUGUUCGGGCAGUGGUGGUCGUUGAUGGAUUGGGAGGAGCUGCCAUGUACGAGUUGGUUCGUGUCGGACACAAAAAGUUGGAGAAAGCAUUUGUCUGAAGAGUGGCUCGGCUUCCAUUCAAAGUGUAGAGUUUUGUGAUCAAAAUUGAUACAGUUCAUGAGAUGAGAUUUUUGGAAUUAGUGUCCUCUCAAGUUAUCAGGCUUUGUUGGCUUAUACUUUGUUGCUGUGGUUUUCAUGCUCACUAAGUCAUGUUUGGGAGGACUGACGAAUACUGUGCAGUUUACGAUAAGACAGUAGGAUUGAUGUUUGGUGAUCCGGUUACUAGAUACAAGGUAUUUGGUCAAGGUUUCUUUUUUUCUUUUUC